rnacentral:rRNA from 1 species
GACCCGUCUUGAAACACGGACCAAGGAGUCUAACAUGUGCGCGAGUCAGCGGGUCUUGUACAGGCCCGGGGGCGCAAUGAAAGCGAAGGUCGGCGGACGCCGUCCGAGCUGUUAUCCGCGGCCCAAAACGCGGCGCACCAGCGACCUGUCCUAUCCGGCACGCCAGUUGGGCAGAAUGUGAGCGCGCACGUUGAGACCCGAAAGAUGGUGAACUAUGCCCGGACAGGACGAGGCCUGAGGAAACUCUGAUGGAGGUCCGCAGCGGUUCUGACGUGAAAAUUGAUCGUCAGAUCCGGGCCUAGGGGCGAAAGACUAAUCGAACCAUCUAGUAGCAGGUUUCCUCCGAAGUUUCCCUCAGGAUAGCUGGCUCUUAAACGGAUCAGUCUCAUCCGGUAAAGCGAAUGAUUGGAAGCCUUGGGGCCGAAACGACCUCAACCUAUUCUGAAACUUUAAAUGGGUGAGUGACUGCCUUGCUCGAUCGAAGGCCGGCCGUUCGGAUGAGAGUGCCCAGUGGGCCACUUUUGGUAAGCAGAACUGGCGCUGUGGG